AAGAGAAAACACUUGGAAACUUACAUCAAAGAUUCUUUCAAAGGAAGCAACCAGAAAUUAGAACGACUUUGGCAAAUGAACAAAAGGGAGAGGUAGAGUUGUUAGUUUUGUAGGGGCACACUUGUAUCGUUUUAAAAAACUACAUUUCAGAAAUUUGAUAUGGAUGUCAACAAUUAUCAAAAAGAACAACAAGCAUUAAAACAGCCCAGAUGUAGUCAGAGCCAGACCCUGGAAGCAAUUGAAAAAGAUAUGCAUGAGAAGUACAUGGAGGGUUUGAUGAACUUGGAGACCAACAACUACGAUAUGCAUUUUGAUGUAGAAGGUGAACUGAGAAAAAAAAUGACAGUGUUUAAAAAAUACCUCAUGAAGCAUGCUCUGAAGUACUCUUCUACUUUCCCAUCUUCAGAC
rnacentral:lncRNA from 1 species